CCCGGCAUUUCCGGUGACGUCACGGCGCAGUGCCGGGUUCACGGGGACUACCAUUUGUCCACUUCCAUGUUGUAAAAGACGAUUUUCCCCUCCCUUUCUAGCUGCUUACAGCUCCGGAAAAGACGGAGAUCGGUCACGGAUUGUGUCCUCUAGCUCCCGAUCGGCUGGCGAGCGGCACUGGAGGGAAAAGCGGUGUUGACCCUGAAAGUGCAGAGAAACCCAGCUAGGAGCUGAAUAGCAAACACUUCACAGCAAUCUUCAUACCGCUAAACAUUUGACAACCCAGUUGCUACAUCUCGCUUGCUGAAGUUGGUUGUGUCAGACUGUCAACAGAGUUGCCGGCUCACCCGUCCUGUCACAGCCACACCUUUGCCUGAUUGUUCCCAAACAGCUUCAAACACUGCUGUUGCUCGUGAUGGAAAAGCAGUGACACCAGCGCCAGAGGUACAGCCAUGGAUGCCUUGACAGUUGUGACCCCCCGAGCAGGCUCCGCUCACUAGUGCUGAAGAACUGGGUUGCCUUACUUCUCACCAUGCUGCACUGCGCAAACAGCCUCUGAACCGUCGCAUAGCUAGGAACCACACACAGUUGCCCUUCACCACAAAUCACGAUGGAGAAAUCCGAGUCACCUUCUCUGUCAGUGAGUGUGACCUCCGACCCAGAGGUCGCGGUGGACCAGACCACUAUCCCCAGGGAGGGGGAGACAGUUGAGACCCCGAGUGAAAAACCCAGCUCCAGACAAGGUUCCCUGUCCCGCGAGAGCAGUCAAGAGGGUGUCACAACGCCAAAGGAUGGAUCACAAAUCCAAGUGCUAGUGGAGGAGCACCACGAUGGUGACGAUGAGUGGGAGGAGCGGGAUGGCGGGCGCCGCUACGAGAAGUCCGCCAGGUCCGAUCACCGUGGCGACGGCAGGAUGUCCUCCGAGAGAGGGCGGGGGAAGGGCAAGGCUCACCCAAAGAUCAAGCUGUUGGUGAGAAGUCGUGCCGUCCAUGAUGACACUUCACCCCCCGCGACCCCUGACCCUCCCAUAGUUGAACAGAAACAGUCCCCCACCAAGGAGCUGAAGUCCCAGGAGAGCGGAGACAGUGCCUGCAGUGGGCUCACCACACCCAGAAGUACAGCCAGCCUUUCAAGAGAUUCCAGUCAAGAUAAGGAGUACACAGACUUCACAGGGGUGGACCUGCACCAGUUUAUUGUAGAUACCCUCAAAAAUAACCCUAGAGAUAGAAUGAUGCUUUUGAAGCUAGAGAAAGACUGUAUAGAAUUAAUUAACGAGGAGAAGACACACCAGAAAACAUUUCCACCAAUGACGUCGUACCAUAGAAUGUUAGUGCACAGAGUCGCUGCUUAUUUCGGCAUGGACCACAAUGUGGACUCGACGGGGAAAGCUGUAAUCAUAAACAAGACGUGUAAUACUAGAAUACCAGAGCAGAAAUUUAGUGAACACAUAAAGGACAACAGUAGAGGAGAAGAACCUCAGAGAAGACAGAUCCUACAGAGGGACAGAGAGAGCAGCUCAGAAAAAGAGGAGGUAUCGAAAGACAGAAUACCCACGCUACGAGAGGACAAGAAGAGCAAGUCAAUAGAAGAGAGAGAGGAAGAGUAUGAAAAGGCUCGCGCAAGGAUAUUCAACCAAGAUGUCUCCAUUUCUUUUCCACAGUCAACGUCAUCGGUAGACACAGACUCAGGCUUUAGAAGUCGGUCCAGCAGACAGAGCAGCCAGGAGGACACGCCGCGGUGGCACGACUACGGUCGGCCCUGGAGCAGCACAGACUCUGACACCAGCACCAACCGCAUACAGAGGCCCACCGUCACGAAAGCCAGCAGCUUUGGCGGCACGCCCAUGUUAGCGCGUGGAGACAGCGGUGACAGGAGCGGCAGGGGCAGUGGGAAACUAUCCAAACAAGGGUCUGACGCCAGCGGGUCCAUAGCAGCAAGGAGUCAGCCUUUGGGGAUGCAGCCCUCCAUCAGCAUCAGUUACCCCACCUCUGUUAGCACUACACAGGUCACCUGGUCAGGAGGGAGUGAGGGGAGUUCGGUUCCCAGUUUCUCAGGGACGGGGACGGGGACAGGAGUCCUCUGGGCGGUGUCGGACAUCUCCCAAAUCCCCCCUGGCAGUGUCCUCAUCAACCCUCAGACUGGUCAGCCCUUUCUAAAUGCAGACGGGUCUCCAGUGAUAUUCCAGCCCCAGAUGGUUGCCCAGCAACAGCCAAUGAGAGGCCAGCAGCAGCAGCAGCCCCAGCAGCAACAACAGAUGUCUUCUCAGCCCUCCCCGCAGCAGCCUGUUAUCUACACAUCGUACGUCCCGCAGCAACAACAGAUGGUGCAGGGACAGGGGCAGUAUGUGGUGGGGGAGGAGUCCCAAGGUCAGUUAGGAGACAUGACCCCGCAGUUCCAGCAGCUGAACAUCAGCAGACAGUCCUCAGGGGACAGCGCGGUCGAGCUGUCCUCCCCACAGCAGGGUCAGCAUCCCAUGUACGCUGCACAGGGCCAGUUCCUGACGUCCCCAGUGCAGCCCCCAGCCCCCUAUCAGCACAGCCAGGCUCAGCCGGUCAUGGGUCAGCAGCCGUUCGUCCAGGGGGGUAUGCAGCAGGUCCCUGUGUACUUUCUGCCCCCAAACCAGCUUCCGCAGGGGUUCCGGGCGGUGGUUCCCAUGUACGUGGCUCCCGCACAGCAGCAGCAGCAACAGCAGGCCUCUAGUCAGCAGGUGCCUCUCCAGUCCGGGCAGUACAGCCAGCAGCAGCACACGCUCCUGUCCCCCCAGCAGGUUCCCCAGUACCCCUCCUACCAGAUCCCCACCAUACAGACCCCCCAGGGGGUCACCGCCCCGGGGCAGGGGUUCCAGCCCGUGGGGGUGGGGCAGAGUCAGCAGGGGAUGCAGCAACAGGUUCCAAUGCAGUCCUACUACAUGGUGCCCUGCUCCGGCACGGCGCCAGCAGUGGUGGCCUACCCUCCCCCCUCCGACCAAACUCAGAUGGGACGACCCCCUUCCCCCUCACAGGGACAGCAGGUGAUGUCGGGUCAGUACGUCACGUUUGCGUACUCCCAGCAGCGGGCGCCGUCGCCACAGAUGCACCAAUCACAGGCCUACAACGUGCAAUCCCCGCCCACCUCUCCUCAGACCUUCUCCUCGGGCAGCUACGCCAGCAGGUCCGCGCAGCAGAGGCAAGCGCCCACCGUACAGAUAUCAGGGACAUCCUCGCCACCCCCACAGGCAUCGCAGCCGUAUUCCCAACAACGUAAGUCGUUUGAGGGGAGAAUGCCCAAGUCAGACCUGUACCAGCAUAACCAUCGCGGAGGGUCGCCCGUGGGCCACAGCCCCCGCCCCUCCCCCUCGCAGUCUCCCCAGGCCACGGCGGCGAAUCCCGUUAGAACGGGCAUCAUUAUCCCGCCGGCGCAAUUCGGCCGACCACUUAUCCAGGGGCAAUCAUUCCCCGCUCCAGUGCUGGCCCAACCUCUCCAGUUCGCCCCCCAAGUCCGCCCCAAAGUGGUAUAUCCCCAGCAGCAGCAGCAGUCUUCACAGCAGGGUGGGGCCCAACCAUCGCAGCAGCAGGGGGGGAAGGGAUCCAAACAGCAGCAGAGAAAAGGCCCCAAGAAGGCUCGCUCUGCAGAAGUGCCCACAGAAUCUGAACAAGGUCCCCGACGGCCCCAGCGUUUCAGUCGUGAAUACGAAGACUAUUAUGAUUAUGACAAGAAGAAAAUCCCAAAGGUGCUGAGCCACGUGUUGGAAGUGUUCGACCUUCCCGAAGGCUUAAAGAGACACGAGACGGAGACCCUGUUCAAGGAUCUCACCAAGGUUGGCGGCAAGAUACGAUGGCUCCAAGAGUCGCGCUCCGGCGGUCGUCGUGGUGACGGCAAGAGCUCAGACUUGGUGUCGGACUAUAUCGUUCUCGCCGUCUUUACGACCAAGUCCGCCGCCCAGAACACGUUAAAGACAGUCAGCAGCGAACACUUCAAAUUGAGACCACCACAGAAACAGUACGAUAUCCGCCUCUUGGAACGCUCCAGUACCACAUAGAUAUGGUAUUUUUGUAGCCACACGUUGUGUAGUUCUAGCGUUCAGUCACGUGUCUGACUAGGUUGCCUCUCUCCUCAGUACUGUAGUGCUGCUUUCUACUCUACUCUGAUGUUCUCUCUGUUCGUUGGGUAAUAAACUAAUAAACAAGUUUCAUGCUGGGAGCCCACAGCCAUAACCCUCUAAGCCUCACCACGUAACGUUGUCGGUAAUAUGAUAUGUGAACGUGCACUGUUGUCGUAGUCUAGGAGAUGAACCUUUCAAUCUUGGGCCAGAGGUCAGAGGUCAAAGUACACCAAGCUGCUGGAGUUGCACGGGGUUCCAUGAUGCACUGCACUGCUUACAGCGGCUGUGUGGUGCAUUCUGGGAUGUGGAACAUAUUAUGGAGUAGGAAGUUCUUCCUUCAGCCAAGGUGCCUUUCAGAAAUCUUAAGAAACGUCGUUCCUGCAACUUUUCUUUCAGAUUUUUGUACACAUCUCUGUUUGCUGUCUUAUGACUGUACUCCUAAUUGAUUUGCUCGUUAAGUUUCUACACUCCUUCCACCAACCUGUCAUUAUGCUAGUUUGAAAGACGGUAUCUUCACAUGAAAUUGUCAAUUUUUGCUCUUUCCGCCUUCUGUGUAAACCUGUCUUAUGCAUUACCAAUGCUUCUUUUUAAUAGUAUAAGUCAUAAAUGUAUGGUCUGUUUUUCCGUUUACUCUUACGUGCAACUUCUCUGAGAAUCCUGGAAAGUCUUAGGGUUCUGAUAUUUAAUAAGCAAUAUUGUUACACACAUAGGGUACUUACUGGGAAAUACUUUGAUCCAUGCAUGUGCAAAAAAUUUGUUCAAAAAGCAUGCACCCGUGUUGUUUUAUCUUCUCGCUCUCUCGCUCUAUAUAUGUAUGUUUUUCUAUCGGAACUUGUCUUUCAAGGUCGCAUGUGACAUCCGCCCCCCUCCCCCCCAAGUGUAAAUGUACUAGUGCCAUUUCUCUCUCUGUGGCUGGGAUCCUUCCAGCACCCUGGUUAUGCUGCUUAGACACCUGUAUAUUAUCUAUAUAACCAAGUACGACCAUGGUGUGGCUAUAGAUAGCGCUCCGAUUCCCUAGGAUGUUGAAUAGGUGAGAAAUCAGAUAGAAAAGCCGUUUUGGUGUAGUGUAUAUUUAAUGUGUAUCUAUACAAGAGAACGUCGUGCAAGAUAAGAGAGAAUUUUUUCACCCAUUUUUUAUUUGAAGACCGGUUGGCGCGGGCGAGGUUGUCCCUCAGAACUGUUGUAGUGACUGUUGUAUCGUGGAUACAACGUGAUAUGCCCCACACACGUAUGUAGAUACGGCUUACUCGAUAUGUGGUGUGAGAAUAUACAGGUAUUUCCUGACACAGUAUAUUUGUGCGUAUAUAUGAUGAUGAUGAUGAUGAAGAAAUAAAGUCUUGAACUGUG